rnacentral:rRNA from 1 species
GGAGGAAAGCAGGGGAUCGUAAGACCUUGCGCUUUUGGAGCGGCCGAUGCCUGAUUAGCUAGUUGGUGGGGUAAUGGCCUACCAAAGCUUCGAUCAGUAGCUGGUCUGAGAGGACGGCCAGCCACACUGGGACUGAGACACGGCCCAGACUCCUACGGGAGGCAGCAGUGGGGAAUUUUGGACAAUGGGCGCAAGCCUGAUCCAGCCAUGCCGCGUGAGUGAAGAAGGCCUUCGGGUUGUAAAGCUCUUUCAGCCGGGAAGAAAAGGUUGCGAUUAAUAAUCGCAAUUUAUGACGGUACCGGAAGAAGAAGCACCGGCUAACUACGUGCCAGCAGCCGCGGUAAUACGUAGGGUGCGAGCGUUAAUCGGAAUUACUGGGCGUAAAGGGUGCGCAGGCGGUUUUGUAAGUCAGAUGUGAAAUCCCCGGGCUUAACCUGGGAACUGCGUUUGAAACUACAAAGCUAG